rnacentral:rRNA from 1 species
ACUGGGCGUAAAGGGUCUGUAGGUGGUUUGUUAAGUCAGAUGUGAAAGCCCAGGGCUCAACCUUGGAACUGCAUUUGAUACUGGCAAACUAGAGUAUGGUAGAGGAAUGGGGAAUUUCUGGUGUAGCGGUGAAAUGCGUAGAGAUCAGAAGGAACACCAAUGGCGAAGGCAACAUUCUGGACCAAUACUGACACUGAGGGACGAAAGCGUGGGGAUCAAACAGGAUUAGAUACCCUGGUAGUCCACGCUGUAAACGAUGAGUACUAGCUGUUGGAUUCGGUGUAAAGGAUCUAGUGGCGUAGCUAACGCGUUAAGUACUCCGCCUGGGGACUACGGCCGCAAGGCUAAAACUCAAAGGAAUUGACGGGGACCCGCACAAGCGGUGGAGCAUGUGGUUUAAUUCGAUGCAACGCGAAGAACCUUACCUGGUCUUGACAUCCUGCGAACUUUCUAGAGAUAGAUUGGUGCCUUCGGGAACGCAGUGACAGGUGCUGCACGGCUGUCGUCAGCUCGUGUUGUGAAAUGUUGGGUUAAGUCCCGCAACGAGCGCAACCCCUAUUGAUAGUUACCAUCAUUAAGUUGGGUACUCUAUUGAGACUGCCGCUGACAAGGCGGAGGAAGGUGGGGACGACGUCAAGUCAUCAUGGCCCUUACGACCAGGGCUACACACGUGCUACAAUGGGUAUUACAGAGGGCAGCGAAGUAGCGAUAUGGAGCGAAACUCAGAAAGGUACUCUUAGUCCGGAUUGCAGUCUGCAACUCGACUGCAUGAAGUCGGAAUCGCUAGUAAUCGCAGGUCAGAAUACUGCGGUGAAUACGUUCCCGGGUCUUGUACACACCGCCCGUCACACCAUGGGAGUGGGUUGCUCCAGAAGUAGAUAGCUUAACGAAUGGGCGUUUACCA